UACGGGGGGGGUAAGCGUUGUUCGGAAUUACUGGGCGUAAAGGGCUCGUAGGCGGCCAACUAAGUCAGACGUGAAAUCCCUCAGCUUAACUGGGGAACUGCGUCUGAUACUGGAUGGCUUGGAUUCGGGAGAGGAAUGCGGAAUUCCAGGUGUAGCGGUGAAAUGCGUAGAUAUCUGGAGGAACACCGGUGGCGAAGGCGGCAUUCUGGACCGACGAUUGACGCUGAGGAGCGAAAGCCAGGGGAGCAAAACGGG
rnacentral:rRNA from 1 species